UUGACUUGGUAAAGUACCAAGAAACUUAAAACAGUUAAAGUCUUAAGACCCAACAUCGAAAAGCUUAGAAUUGACACUUUUCACUCUCAAAAUACGGAGUAUGCUCGUCCUUCUAGUCGGGGAAGUAUUCUGGAUUUCAUGGCUGCUUCUUCUACAUAUUAUGUACCAAAUUUCUGAUACUUUGGAUGGAAAAAAAUAUGAAGGAAUGACCUUUUUUUAGAGUAACAGGCAACGCCAUUUUUGGGUCAAAAUUCUGCAAGUCUGAGAGCUUUUGAAGGGAUUAUCGGCCAAGAUCAAUUUAAAAUAUUUCAAGAUUAAGGAUCCAAGGAUGAUUAAAGAUUAUGGUACACUUAAACAAUUCAAUUGAAUGUGGGUCUUGAUUAUAUUGGGAAAGGCAAGGAUGCCACCUAACACACCAUGGUAUUAGAACAACACUCGAGAUUACUUUCCUUAUAUGAGGGAUGGUCAUGUGCUUAUGUUUAUAAGAUGUUUAUCAUAUGAUGUCAGAUCACAACCCAACUAGGAGAUGACAUAGCAGAUGAGGCAGACGCGGCAUUUUGACGUGACAACUGACGUGGGGAGAGUGAGUUACACUCACCAAAAAAGGGUCUAAAAUGUUGCUUAUUAGUGGGUUCAGGGGUCUAGAUAACAAACAUGUAAGUAGAAGUAUCCAACUUACAAAACCGACGUAGUACAAGGGUCCAGAAAGUCAUUUUGUCAUAAAGAAAUCUAGAACUAAUAAAUACAGAAGUAAAUACUCUAGAUAAAAAUAUAAUACCUAGUACAUCAGAAAUAAGAAAACCAACAUAUAAUUACAAAAGUAAGUUUAAAAGAUAUAAUCCAAAGG